CCGGCAAGUAAAGCUCUUCUCCAUGGUACAGGCGGUCCAGCUGCUGCCAGAACGCUUAGAUCUCAGCAGGCGACAUCAUGCGGCCAGAGAACUUGACCUUGAUGGGGUUGACGUUCUGGCCGAUGCGGCGCAUGUUCUGGUUCGCGCCCACGCGGCCAGCGUUCACCUUCUCGGGGUAGACGCCGUCAGCAGGGUGCAGGUACUGCACCUUGCCGUCGGGGAAGACGCGGUAGAAGCAGGGGGUCAGCUUGAACUUGUUGCGGAGCUGGGUCGUCAGGGCGAGGCACUGCUCCUUCUUGCCGAACUUCAGCAGGUUGGGGCCCUGGCGCAUGAUAGCGGCACCGCCAGUGGGCAUCUCGAAGAUCUGCUCCUUCUUAGCCUCCCAG
rnacentral:lncRNA from 1 species